AGAGUUUGAUCAUGGCUCAGAACGAACGUUGGCGGCGUGGAUUAGGCAUGCAAGUCGAGCGAAUCCCUGAGGGCUUGCUCUCAGGGGGAAGCGGCGAAAGGGGCAGUAAUGCAUGGCUAACCUACCCCGGGGACGGGGAUAGCUACCCUAACGGGUAGGUAAUACCCGGCGAUCUGGCGAAGGGGCCUCCCUUUGCCAGGAAAUGAAUUUCGCCUCGGGAGGGGGCCAUGUGGUAUUAGCUAGUUGGUGGGGUAACGGCCCACCAAGGCUGAGAUGCCUAGCGGGUGUGAGAGCACGACCCGCGCCACUGGGACUGGGACACGGGCCAGACUCCUACGGGAGGCUGCAGUCGAGAAUCUUCGGCAAUGGGCGCAAGCCUGACCGAGCGACGCCGCGUGUGCGACGAAGGCCUUCGGGUUGUAAAGCGCGAAAGUGACGAGGAAAACUGACCGAGUCACAGUAAGCACGGGCUAAGUUCGUGCCAGCCGCCGCGGUAAUUC
rnacentral:rRNA from 1 species